GAGACACCCUUAUGAAGCAGGACUUGCUUCAGUAGGGCUUUAGUGCUCACUGCGUCCGCCCCUUGAGUGUGUCACU
rnacentral:pre_miRNA from 1 species